UACAGAGGGUGCGAGCGUUAAUCGGAAUUACUGGGCGUAAAGCGUGCGUAGACGGUUAUUUAAGUCGGAUGUGAAAGCCCCGGGCUCAACCUGGGAAUUGCAUUCGAGACUGAAUAGCUAGGGUACGGUAGAGGGAAGUGGAAUUUCCGGUGUAGCGGUGAAAUGCGUAGAUAUCGGAAGGAACAUCAGUGGCGAAAGCGGCUCACUGGCCCGGUACUGACGCUGAGGCGCGAAAGCGUGGGGAGCAAAGCAGG
rnacentral:rRNA from 1 species